rnacentral:lncRNA from 1 species
AAAGAGGAGAAGCUCAUCGGGCCAUCAGAGAGAUGCUCCUACAGGGUCCUGAUGUUCGGUGAAGUUAUAGCCUCCCCAAAUUGAGGUGACAGAAGGAAGACAAGAGGUGUAAGCUGGAGAGUGUUUCUCCCGAAGCCUCGUCUUCAUGCCCCAGACACCUGAUUGCCCCAAUCAGGUGUCAGACUUGCUUGCUCUUCGAGGUCCCCCUGAGCUGCCAAGUGUUUUCAUUGUAAACAGACACAUCGCCAUGUUUCAGGGCUUCAACGGCAUUGUAUUUUGGACUUUGACCGUAUUUUUUUUCUCUUAACCUACUGAGACUCUUCCUUAAGAACAGGAUCUAUAGCUUUAAAAUGUCUUCUUCUAUGGGAAAUUUCCUGC